GAAUCUUCCCCAAUGGACGAAAGUCUGACGGAGCAACGCCGCGUGAGUGAUGAAGGCUUUCGGGUCGUAAAACUCUGUUGUUAGGGAAGAACAAGUGCUAGUUGAAUAAGCUGGCACCUUGACGGUACCUAACCAGAAAACCACGGCUAAAUACGUGCCAGCAGCCGCGGUAAUACGUAGGUGGCAAGCGUUAUCCGGAAUUAUUGGGCGUAAAGCGCGCGCAGGUGGUUUCUUAAGUCUGAUGUGAAAGCCCACGGCUCAACCGUGGAGGGUCAUUGGAAACUGGGAGACUUGAGUGCAGAAGAGGAAAGUGGAAUUCCAUGUGUAGCGGUGAAAUGCGUAGAGAUAUGGAGGAACACCAGUGGCGAAGGCGACUUUCUGGUCUGUAACUGACACUGAGGCGCGAAAGCGUGGGGAGCAAACAGGAUUAGAUACCCUGGUAGUCCACGCCGUAAACGAUGAGUGCUAAGUGUUAGAGGGUUUCCGCCCUUUAGUGCUGAAGUUAGCGCAUUAAGCACUCCGCCUGGGGAGUACGGCCGCAAGGCUGAAACUCAAAGGAAUUGACG
rnacentral:rRNA from 1 species